GACGAACGCUGGCGGCGUGCUUAACACAUGCAAGUCGAACGGUGAAGCGCCUUCCUUUUUGGUGGGUGUGGAUGAGUGGCGAACGGGUGAGUAACACGUGAGUAACCUGCCCCCUUCUUCUGGAUAACCGCAUGAAAGUGUGGCUAAUACGGGAUAUUCUGGGUCUGUCGCAUGAUGGGUCUGGGAAAGAUAUUGUUUCGGUGGGGGAUGGGCUCGCGGCCUAUCAGCUUGUUGGUGGGGUGAUGGCCUACCAAGGCGGUGACGGGUAGCCGGCCUGAGAGGGUGGACGGUCACACUGGGACUGAGACACGGCCCAGACUCCUACGGGAGGCAGCAGUGGGGAAUAUUGCACAAUGGGCGCAAGCCUGAUGCAGCGACGCCGCGUGAGGGAUGGAGGCCUUCGGGUUGUGAACCUCUUUCGCCAGUGAAGCAGGCCUGCCUCGUUUGUGGGUGGGUUGACGGUAGCUGGAUAGAAGCGCCGGCUAACUACGUG
rnacentral:rRNA from 1 species